AAAAAUUUAGUUAAUAAAUAACAUUAACUUGUCAAGUUAAAAUAAUUAAUAUUUAAUAAUUUUUU
rnacentral:tRNA from 1 species